UACGUAGGGGGCAAGCGUUGUCCGGAUUUAUUGGGCGUAAAGAGCGUGUAGGCGGCCAAGCAGGUCCGCUGUGAAAACUCGAGGCUCAACCUCGAGACGUCGGUGGAAACCGUUUGGCUAGAGUCCGGAAGAGGAGAGUGGAAUUCCCGGUGUAGCGGUGAAAUGCGCAGAUAUCAGGAAGAACACCAAUGGCGAAGGCAGCUCUCUGGGACGGUACUGACGCUGAGACGCGAAAGCGUGGGGAGCGAACAGG
rnacentral:rRNA from 1 species